CGAGAUGCCGGCUCACACCGAUGAUCCAACUUCACCUGCAUGUCCUCGAUUCCAUGGGGAGCAGCGGCCCAUCCCCAAUCGCGAUGGCGUAGAGGCCAGUGCAGAAUCCGGCGGUGUCUCCUCCAUGGGCAACAACAAGCCCACCCUUCGCCGCCACCACGUCUAUGUCAACGACAACGCACGCGGGAACGCAACCGCCUGGGAGCAGCCAGGUAGCACAAGGAGCAGUGAUGACGGUUGUGCUACAGAUCCUCACAUGUCUGGCCACACGGGUGAUGAUGUGGGCUAGGAAGGGCACGGCAGUGUUGAUGCUGCCUCCAGGAAAAAAGGCUGCUCGAGAGCGGAGAGAGGAGGCUGAGGUGGUCUGUGUGCUUUCGCGGAUGGAUUAUUAUUUUGUCUUGCUUUAUGCGGCAUCCGGACUUGUGGAGUCAUGCGGUACGUGGAUACUACCACUCCCGAGAUUGUGUUCGGGCUGCCGUUGAGGUUCAGUUUGUCGUCCUCAACCAGCGAGAUGAUAUUAGAAUCUAUUUGGUAAAUCGCCGGAACCCGAGCUGCAUAGGUAGGACUGUCCACAUGGUUCAGUGGGUAACCUUUUCCUUUAGGAUUCAUGAAUCUUGGCUUUCCCAGUAAAGCUUACAUACUUGAAAACUGGCUUUACUUAAGGGAUAUGACUCUAAGUAGAGCAAUUUAUUUUGAUCUCCCUUUCAUGGAUUGCCCAUAAUUAUUAGCAUAUGGAAAUGCAACAAUAUCAAACAGGCAUAAUUGUUCUCACAUUAUAAUUGCAGUUUCUUGAUUGAACUAUGUAAAUGUAAGACGACUUCGUUUUUUUUACAAUAGGCAUGGGUAUCUUGGUGAGAUGAAGUCUCUAUUUUAGUUUCAAUUGUAGUGGAUAUUGUUCACUUUGCCAACUACUUUUUACUCUGCCAUUGCGUGGCAGCAAAGGUAUAGUUAGUUCUUACAUAUGCAGUUAGUCCUUAGAUGUAUUGUACAUAUUAUUUGUGGUCCAUAACAUUAUUUUUAAUUGGGUCGCUCAUUUCCCACAUCAAGAUUCAGUUACUGUUAUUGAUCUCUCUUUUGACCGCUGCACUUUAUAGCUUGACUUAUCUUCUUAACUGCAAGCAUAUGCUUUCGAAUUCUUAUUGAU